GACGAACGCUGGCGGCGUGCUUAACACAUGCAAGUCGAACGAAGAGCGAUGGAAGCUUGCUUCUAUCAAUCUUAGUGGCGAACGGGUGAGUAACGCGUAAUCAACCUGCCCUUCAGAGGGGGACAACAGUUGGAAACGACUGCUAAUACCGCAUACGAUCUAAUCUCGGCAUCGAGGAUAGAUGAAAGGUGGCCCCUACAUGUAAGCUAUCACUGAAGGAGGGGAUUGCGUCUGAUUAGCUAGUUGGAGGGGUAACGGCCCACCAAGGCGAUGAUCAGUAGCCGGUCUGAGAGGAUGAACGGCCACAUUGGGACUGAGACACGGCCCAGACUCCUACGGGAGGCAGCAGUGGGGAAUCUUCCGCAAUGGACGAAAGUCUGACGGAGCAACGCCGCGUGAGUGAUGACGGCCUUCGGGUUGUAAAGCUCUGUUAAUCGGGACGAAAGGCCUUCUUGCGAAUAGUGAGAAGGAUUGACGGUACCGGAAGAGAAAGCCACGGCUAACUACGUG
rnacentral:rRNA from 1 species